UACGAAGGGGGCUAGCGUUGCUCGGAAUCACUGGGCGUAAAGGGCGCGUAGGCGGGUCUUUUAAGUCAGGGGUGAAAUCCUGGAGCUCAACUCCAGAACUGCCUUUGAUACUGAGGAUCUUGAGUACGGGAGAGGUGAGUGGAACUGCGAGUGUAGAGGUGAAAUUCGUAGAUAUCUGGAGGAACACCGGUGGCGAAGGCGGCAUCCUGGACCGGUAUUGACGCUGAGGCGCGAAAGCUAGGGGAGCAAACGGG
rnacentral:rRNA from 1 species